UACGUAGGUGGCAAGCGUUGUCCGGAUUUACUGGGCGUAAAGAGCGUGUAGGCGGCCAACUAAGUCCUGCGUGAAAUCUCGGGGCUCAACCCCGAGCGGUCGUGGGAAACUGGUUGGCUAGAGUGCGGGAGAGGAGAGUGGAAUUCCUGGUGUAGCGGUGAAAUGCGCAGAUAUCAGGAAGAACACCCGUGGCGAAGGCGGCUCUCUGGAACGCAACUGACGCUGAGACGCGAAAGCGUGGGGAGCAAACAGG
rnacentral:rRNA from 1 species